rnacentral:rRNA from 1 species
GAUGAACGCUAGCGGCAGGCUUAAUACAUGCAUGUCAUGGGGCAGCAUGAGUGUAGCAAUACAUUUGAUGGCGACCGGCAAACGGGUGCGGAACACGUACACAACCUUCCUAUAAGUGGGGAAUAGCCCAGAGAUAUUUGGAUUAAUACCCCGUAACAUAAUGAUGUGGCAUCACAUUAUUAUUAUAGCUUCGGCGCUUAUUGAUGGGUGUGCGGCUGAUUAGAUAGUUGGCGGGGUAACGGCCCACCAAGUCUACGAUCAGUAGCUGAUGUGAGAGCAUGAUCAGCCACACGGGAACAGAGACACGGGCCCGACUCCUACGGGAGGCAGCAGUAAGGAAUAUUGGUCAAUGGACGCAAGUCUGAACCAGCCAUGCCGCGUGAAGGAUUAAGGUCCUCUGGAUUGUAAACCUCUUUUAUCUGGGACGAAAAAAGGCGAUUCUUCGUCACUUGACGGUACCAGAUGAAUAAGCACCGGCUAACUCCGUGCCAGCCGCCGCAGUAAUAC